UCCUUUGAAGUUAGCGGCGGACGGUUGAGUAACACGUGUAUAACAUACCUAUAAGACUGGUAUAACUUCUGGAAACCGGAGCUAAUACCGGAUAAGAUUUUUAACCGCAUGGUUCAAUAGUGAAAGACGGCCUUGCUGUCACUUAUAGAUGGAUCCGCGCCGUCUUAGCUAGUUGGUAAGGUAACGGCUUACCAAGGCAACGAUACGUAGCCGACCUGAGAGUGUGAUCGGCCACAC
rnacentral:rRNA from 1 species